UGUAGCAUAAAUUGCUCUCAUGUUUAUUUAGAAUAGUGCAGGUGACAGCACAUUUUGUGCCUAUUUUCUGCUGUAAACAUUUUAAAACACUGUGAUUUCUCUUUGAGAUAAAACUAGUGUCCUGCCUAAAUCACUAUAAAUAUAAGUAGAUUUUUGUCUCAGAAUUCAGUCAUACGUUAAAUAAAGAGGACAACUGUCGUAAUGCUUUUCAUUUUCUUUGUGUCCACUUAUGUGAUUAUGUGUGGGAGGGGGAGGUAUUUUGAGAUUUUAUAAAUGGACAUCUUGUAUAUUAAGUGAACUUUUUUAAGGUUUCAGUUACUGUGUGGGGCAACAACAACAACCAUUGACUCGAUUCCUUCCAAGAGAGAGACACAAUCGGGACGUUAAGCUGUGAUUAAAGUAUUCGUUCUUUUGAAGAUCUGAAGAUGAAGUCAGUGAUUCUGCUACUUUGCUUUGUGAGUGUAGCUUUGGCUAUGAAGGCAUUUCACUAUCCCUACAAAAGACAAAUUUCAUCAGGUUGCAUCGAUGAACGUGGGAUGUAUUACAGGACUCACAAGUUACAAAAUGGAUACUAUGUUUUCAAGUAUUUCCACGUCUACCCCCCAGGACAUCCGCGAUAUGGGCGCCGUUACAUGGGUGAUGAAGACCAGCGAGAGCCCGAAAGUGAAGAGGAUGGGAAUUCUAACGGGGAUGCUGACAUCGCUGAGAAGGCUGAAGUGGGUCAAGGCGGCAAGCAGCCAAAUGAGGUUCUGAGCGAUGCCAAAAACUAAAAACAAAAGGGCAAAAAUGAUCAAAGCUUCCUUUCAAUAGACGCUAAAGCUGCGGCAUUGCGAUAGUGCAUGACGAUUAAAGUGAUAGAUUAAAAAAAAAACUAAACAAUCAAAACCUUCCAGGUAACAAUUGCCUAGCAGCUACUUUCUGUAAGUUAUGGACUGAUGAGGAAAAUACGUAAGGUUUUCUUUUUCUUGUUUAACUGUAAAAAAGAAAAAAUAAAGUGUAAAGUGAGAUGUGAACAUUAGACUCAUGUUCUGUUUGGACAAGUUGAAAACUUCAGGUGGAAAAUAAUACAUCCUCUUGUUACGGCGUCAAUUGAUUCAGUGUAAAAUGGGACUUCCAUUUAUGCGACCUUUGCAGAAUGUUCAAAAAAAAUAAAACAUUCCUUCUUAUUCAACAAAGA
rnacentral:lncRNA from 1 species